CUCAGGACUUUGCACUCCCGAGGCAGGCACGGCACCACUGAGCUAAAUCCCCGGCCCUAUUGCGAACAUUUAGAGGAAGAAUUGCCAGUGACCCAAAAGAUAAGACUUCUUCAUGUGCUGUAUCUAAGGCUGCUCCUGGAAACUGGCUUUCUAUAGUCAAGGAACAAUUCCUGUAGAAAGUGGACACUGAGGACAGUCAAGCAGCAUCCUGUCCAGAAGUUGGAAUAAAUGCUUCAGUCUUGAAAAGGAAAUGUGCGCAACACACAACAGUGUUCUCUGUAGAAAUUAUAAAUAUUUGGCCUUACUCAAAAUGUGCAAAGAAGAAUAAUGGAAGCACCUGAAUACCUUGAUUUGGAUGAAAUCGACUUUAGUGAUGAUAUAUCUUAUUCAGUCACAUCACUCAAGACCAUCCCAGAACUGUGCCGAAGAUGUGACUCUCAAAAUGAAGACAGAUCAGUUUCUAGCUCUAGCUGGAAUUGUGGUAUCUCAACUCUCAUUACAAACACACAGAAGCCCACAGGCAUCGCUGAUGUAUACAGUAAGUUCCGCCCAGUGAAGCGGGUUUCCCCACUGAAACAUCAGCCAGAGACUCUGGAGAACAAUGAAAGUGAUGACCAAAAGAACCAUAAGGUGGAGUACCAGAAAGAGGGUGACCCCGACCAGGGCCCCCAGACUGAGGAGCUUGGCCCUGAAGAUGGAGUUGGGGGCUUGCCCGGGAAGAGCUCUGAGCCUAGCUCUGCACUGGGCGAACUGGAACACUAUGACCUCGACAUGGAUGAGAUUCUGGAUGUGCCUUACAUUAAAUCCAGCCAGCAGCUUGCCUCUUUUUCCAAGGUGACUUCAGAAAAAAGAAUUUUGGGUUUAUGUACAACCAUCAAUGGCCUUUCUGGCAAAGCCUGCUCUACAGGAAGCACUGAGAACUCAUCAUCCAACAUGACACCAUUUUGUGUCCUUUCUCCUGUGAAAAGUCCUCACUUGAGAAAAGCAUCAGCUGUCCUCCGUGACCCACACAAGCUGUCCACUGGAGAAUCUGAGAGUUCACCUCCUCCUAUUAAAUGUGGCUCUGCAUAUGAGCCUGAAAGCCAGAAUAAAGACUUCUUAAACAAGGCCUUUAAUGAUCCACGUAAUCGAAAAAUUGAGAAGACAAUGCCUGACUGCCAGCUCAGGGCCUUCCACGUGCAGUCCUCAGCAACAGAACCCAAACUGGAUGAGCAGGUCAAUGGUAUGAACUGGACCAGCUCCCAAGGCCUGGAAGAAAGGAAUGAGUAUUUGAAAAAAGUAAAAAGCAUCUUGAACAUCGUUAAAGAAGGACAGAUAUCUCUCCUACCACACCUAGCUGCAGACAACCUGGACAAAAUUCAUGAUGAAAAUGGAAACAAUCUGCUUCACAUCACUGCAUCCCGAGGACACGUGGAAUGCCUGCAGCACCUCACCUCACUGAUGGGGGAAGAUUGUCUCAAUGAGCGCAAUGCUGAGAAGCUGACCCCAGCAGGCCUGGCCAUCAAGAAUGGCCAGUUGGAGUGUGUACGCUGGAUGGUGAGUGAAACUGAAGCCAUUGCAGAAUUGAGUUGUUCUAAGGAUUUUCCAAGCCUUAUUCAUUACGCAGGUUGCUAUGGCCAGGAAAAGAUUCUUUUAUGGCUUCUUCAGUUCAUGCAAGAGCAAGGCAUCUCACUGGAUGAAGUGGACCAGGAUGGCAACAGUGCUGUUCAUGUGGCCUCACAGCAUGGCUAUCUUGGGUGCAUACAGACCUUGGUUGAGUAUGGAGCAAAUGUCACCAUGCAGAACCACGUAGGGGACAAGCCCUCCCAGAGCGCAGAGCGGCAUGGGCACACCCUGUGCUCUCGGUACCUGGUGGUGGUGGAGACCUGCAUGUCGCUAGCCUCACAGGUGGUGAAGCUAACCAAGCAGCUGAAGGAACAGACUGUGGAACGUGUGACAUUACAGAACCAACUCCAGCAACUCCUAGAAGCCCAGAAAUCUGAGGGCAAGUCACUCCCUUCUUCACCCAGUUCACCUUCUUCACCAGCUUCCAGAAAGUCCCAAUGGAGAGUUCCAGACAUAGGUGAUGAGUCUACAGCCAAAAGCAAACUAGGAAUCCAAGAAGGGAUUCAAGUUCUUGGAAGCCUGUCAGCCUCCAGCGGGGUCAGAGCCAAAACAAAAGAAGAAGAUUCUGAUAAAAUUCUACGCCAGUUAUUGGGAAAAGAAAUCUCAGAGAAUGUCUGCACCCAGGAAAAGCUGACUUUAGAAUUCCAGGAUGCUCAGGCAUGUUCUAGACAUUCAAAAAAGAUCCCUCUGGAGAAGAGGGAACUGAAAUUAGCCAGGCUGAGGCAGCUAAUGCAGAGGUCACUGAGUGAGUCAGACACAGACUCCAACAACUCUGAGGACCCCAAGAACACCCCUGUGAGAAGGGCUGACAGGCCCCGGCCACAGCCCAUCGUGGAGAGUGUGGAGAGCAUGGACAGCACAGAGAGUUUACACUUGAUGAUAAAGAAACACUCCUUGGCAUCAGGACGUAGGUUUCCUUUUAGUACCAAGGCCUCCAAAUCCCUGGAUGGCCAUAGCCCAUCUCCCACCUCAGAGAGCAGUGAGCCAGACUUGGAGUCCCAGUAUCCAGGUUCAGGGAACAUUCCUCCAAGCCAGCCCUCCGGAGACCCGACUCAGUCAAGCCCUGACAGCACUGCUGCCCAGAAAGUUGCCACGAGUCCCAAGAGUGCCCUCAAGUCUCCAUCUUCUAAGCGCCGGACAUCUCAGAACUCGAAGCUCAGAGUUACCUUUGAGGAGCCUGUGGUACAGAUGGAGCAAACUGGCCUUGAACUAAAUGGAGAAAAAGACAAAGAUAAAGGCAGGACCCUCCCGAGGAACUCCACGAGUAGUGAAUCAGGGGAACAACUGAAAAGGCCUUUCGGAACCUUUCGGUCCAUCAUGGAGACACUAAGUGGCAACCAGAACAAUAAUAAUAAUUACCAGACAGCCAUCCAGCUGAAGACAUCUACGUUGCCCUUAACCUCACUUGGAAGGAAGAUGACAGAUGCCAAGGGAAACCCUGUGAACUCUGCUGGCAAAGGAAAAACUAAAGCAGUGAGUGCUAUUUGGAGAACAUCCUUUCUUCCCCCUUAAAUUGACUAGGUUGUGCCUAACACUACAGAUUUUUGACACCUCGAGGGAAUUUCCACAAAAAUUCUGAAAGGGCAUAAUGACAUCAAUAGAAAAAUGAAGAAAUACAGCAUAAGGCAUAUUGCUGAGCCAGAGUCAAAAGAACUUUUUUUGUAAAUCACUUUUUAAUAUCUCUCGCUGAUGCUCUUUGGACAUCAUUGGAAAUUACUGGACUCUUCUGUGGAAAUAGAAUGAUGAGAAUAAUCCCUCACCAGCAGAUGAACAGAAUAUCAGGAUGCCUUAAAUUUAUAGGAUUAGACUAGAAGAUACAUUUUGGGGUGAUAUUUGUAUAUUAACUUGUUUUUUAAAAGGUGCUAUUUAAAAGCAUGAUUGAGCAAAUGUAUGUUUUUUAAAAUUGGAUUGAUUCAACCUACUCACAGGACCUUCACCAAGCCACUGACACCAUUUUGUAUUUCAUGGAUUGCAUGAGUAUUUGCUAAUGUUGGUUGAACUUCCCUUUACCCAUAACAUGGACAGCUUUGGCUCAGCUUCUCAAUGGGACCAGGUCAGUGGUAUUGUUUUCUGUCGAGUGUUUUUUCUGUCAUUUCUGCUUUUUGUAUAGAGGAAAUAAAAGAGUGUUAACAGCCACCUGUAAGUUUGGGCACCCACUUCCUAAUAAAUCUGUGAUAUUCUGAUUUCUAAGGGACUUUGAA